ACAGCAUUGUAUGUGAGGGAGUCACUGAAUGUAGCAACACUCUGGAGGAUGAAGAGGAUGGUGAAAUGCUGCCUCAGGCCCUUGUCUAUAAGCCCUGCAGACAACGUAUCUACGGCCUGCUGCUGCUACUCGGGCAGGACGGCCGAUCUGUAGAAUGUCCAGCUGUCAAGGAAUGGUUUGUUUCCCCUGGAAAUCCUUUGAUAGAACCUGAGAUGGUCCUUCCUGUCCCGGUCUGCCUCCCAUGUGAUCAUCCCAGUCUGGACCUGUUGUGGUUAAGCAGUGGUCCUGAGGUUUCUGCUCUUCGCUUGACAGCUUUCCUUUCACUCUUUGA